UAGGGAAUCUUCCACAAUGGACGAGAGUCUGAUGGAGCAACGCCGCGUGAGUGAAGAAGGGUUUCGGCUCGUAAAACUCUGUUGUUAAAGAAGAACAUAUCUGAGAGUAACUGUUCAGGUAUUGACGGUAUUUAACCAGAAAGCCACGGCUAACUACGUGCCAC
rnacentral:rRNA from 1 species